rnacentral:lncRNA from 1 species
GCGGUUUGCAGAGCAGAAGAGGCUCAGCCAAAUGCACCGUGCUGUCAAGUUCAGCAUCGAAGGCAACAGAAUGCCCCUGUAGUCCUGGCCCUUCCACAUUUCAGGCAACCUCCAAGAAAGGUAUCAGUCGGCUGGAUAAACAGAUGAGAAAGUUCACAGAUAUCAGGAAAAAAAGCAGAUCUGCACAUGCAGUGAAAAUCAGCAUCGAGGGCAAUAAAAUGCCAUUGUGACCUUGCCUGGGACGUGUCCCCAUCUCUAAAA